rnacentral:rRNA from 1 species
UUAAGCGACUAAGCGUACACGGUGGAUGCCCUGGCAGUCAGAGGCGAUGAAGGACGUGCUAAUCUGCGAAAAGCGUCGGUAAGGUGAUAUGAACCGUUAUAACCGGCGAUGUCCGAAUGGGGAAACCCAGUGCAAUUCGUUGCACUAUCGUUAACUGAAUACAUAGGUUAACGAGGCGAACCGGGGGAACUGAAACAUCUAAGUACCCCGAGGAAAAGAAAUCAACCGAGAUUCCCCCAGUAGCGGCGAGCGAACGGGGAGCAGCCCAGAGUCUGAAUCAGCUUGUGUGUUAGUGGAACGGUCUGGAAAGUCCGACGGUACAGGGUGAUAGUCCCGUACACCAAAAUGCACAGGCUGUGAACUCGAAGAGUAGGGCGGGACACGUGGUAUCCUGUCUGAAUAUGGGGGGACCAUCCUCCAAGGCUAAAUACUCCUGACUGACCGAUAGUGAACCAGUACCGUGAGGGAAAGGCGAAAAGAACCCCGGCGAGGGGAGUGAAAAAGAACCUGAAACCGUGUACGUACAAGCAGUGGGAGCACCUUCGGGUGUGACUGCGUACCUUUUGUAUAAUGGGUCAGCGACUUAUAUUCUGUAGCAAGGUUAACCGUAUAGGGGAGCCGCAGGGAAACCGAGUCUUAACUGGGCGUUAAGUUGCAGGGUAUAGACCCGAAACCCGGUGAUCUAGCCAUGGGCAGGUUGAAGGUUGGGUAACACUAACUGGAGGACCGAACCGACUAAUGUUGAAAAAUUAGCGGAUGACUUGUGGCUGGGGGUGAAAGGCCAAUCAAACCGGGAGAUAGCUGGUUCUCCCCGAAAGCUAUUUAGGUAGCGCCUCGUGAAUUCAUCUUCGGGGGUAGAGCACUGUUUCGGCUAGGGGGUCAUCCCGACUUACCAACCCGAUGCAAACUACGAAUACCGAAGAAUGUUAUCACGGGAGACACACGGCGGGUGCUAACGUCCGUCGUGAAGAGGGAAACAACCCAGACCGCCAGCUAAGGUCCCAAAGUCAUGGUUAAGUGGGAAACGAUGUGGGAAGGCACAGACAGCCAGGAUGUUGGCUUAGAAGCAGCCAUCAUUUAAAGAAAGCGUAAUAGCUCACUGGUCGAGUCGGCCUGCGCGGAAGAUGUAACGGGGCUAAACCAUGCACCGAAGCUGCGGCAGCGACACUAUGUGUUGUUGGGUAGGGGAGCGUUCUGUAAGCCUGCGAAGGUGUGCUGUGAGGCAUGCUGGAGGUAUCAGAAGUGCGAAUGCUGACAUAAGUAACGAUAAAGCGGGUGAAAAGCCCGCUCGCCGGAAGACCAAGGGUUCCUGUCCAACGUUAAUCGGGGCAGGGUGAGUCGACCCCUAAGGCGAGGCCGAAAGGCGUAGUCGAUGGGAAACAGGUUAAUAUUCCUGUACUUGGUGUUACUGCGAAGGGGGGACGGAGAAGGCUAUGUUAGCCGGGCGACGGUUGUCCCGGUUUAAGCAUGUAGGCUGAUUAUCCAGGCAAAUCCGGAUAAUCAAGGCUGAGGUGUGAUGACGAGGCACUACGGUGCUGAAGUAACAAAUGCCCUGCUUCCAGGAAAAGCCUCUAAGCAUCAGGUAACAUCAAAUCGUACCCCAAACCGACACAGGUGGUCAGGUAGAGAAUACCAAGGCGCUUGAGAGAACUCGGGUGAAGGAACUAGGCAAAAUGGUGCCGUAACUUCGGGAGAAGGCACGCUGGUGUGUAGGUGAAGCCCCUGCGGGUGGAGCUGAGACCAGUCGAAGAUACCAGCUGGCUGCAACUGUUUAUUAAAAACACAGCACUGUGCAAACACGAAAGUGGACGUAUACGGUGUGACGCCUGCCCGGUGCCGGAAGGUUAAUUGAUGGGGUUAUCCGUAAGGAGAAGCUCUUGAUCGAAGCCCCGGUAAACGGCGGCCGUAACUAUAACGGUCCUAAGGUAGCGAAAUUCCUUGUCGGGUAAGUUCCGACCUGCACGAAUGGCGUAAUGAUGGCCAGGCUGUCUCCACCCGAGACUCAGUGAAAUUGAACUCGCUGUGAAGAUGCAGUGUACCCGCGGCAAGACGGAAAGACCCCGUGAACCUUUACUAUAGCUUGACACUGAACAUUGAGCCUUGAUGUGUAGGAUAGGUGGGAGGCUUUGAAGCGUGGACGCCAGUCUGCGUGGAGCCAACCUUGAAAUACCACCCUUUAAUGUUUGAUGUUCUAACGUUGGCCCCUUACCGGGGUUGCGGACAGUGUCUGGUGGGUAGUUUGACUGGGGCGGUCUCCUCCCAAAGCGUAACGGAGGAGCACGAAGGUUAGCUAAUCCUGGUCGGACAUCAGGAGGUUAGUGCAAUGGCAUAAGCUAGCUUGACUGCGAGCGUGACGGCGCGAGCAGGUGCGAAAGCAGGUCAUAGUGAUCCGGUGGUUCUGAAUGGAAGGGCCAUCGCUCAACGGAUAAAAGGUACUCCGGGGAUAACAGGCUGAUACCGCCCAAGAGUUCAUAUCGACGGCGGUGUUUGGCACCUCGAUGUCGGCUCAUCACAUCCUGGGGCUGAAGUAGGUCCCAAGGGUAUGGCUGUUCGCC